GAAUACGUGCAUCACAGCCAGCAAUUUCAGACUGUGGAACGUAAAGGCCAGUGAGCUAUCUAUGCCGCCAUGUCAAUACAUCUUCUAUUUGCAUCUUGCUUUUUUUUCAAGCGUCCUUGCGGAUUGGAGACCCGAGACCUGCCAAUCCAGAGGCCUUAGAUGUUCGCUGUUCUUUCUAUGCCCUUUACGGAACAUGGUGUUUGUAUACGGCUGCAAGCACCUGACAGUUUGCUGCGACCCAACUCAGAGAGUGUCUUACUCCUGCCAGUCUAGCGGUUAUUCUUGCGUUCCCUGGUAUCGCUGCGCCCCAGGCUAUUGGAUAUUUGCAAGUGGAUGCGGAAUCGGAUCCGUUUGCUGCAACCUCCGAUCCAUGAACACCUGCUACGCAGCUGGCGGAACCUGUAGACGGAAAUGCCAGCACUCAGUCAGCGCGAGGGGCACAUGCCUCUUUGGUCUUCAGUGCUGCACCGAAGUGCUCUUCUAGCCAGCUUCCACCAGCAAUGUCCACCAUGAAUUUUUACAGAAGAUUGCUGUCAUGACGAGAAAUUGCGUUUCCUCUCUUUUUCUAUUACCACACACCAGAAAUCCAACUACGCCGCACAAUAUGCGGAUGCGAGUUCUUUAGAAGAAAAAAACUCUGUGUUAUAUACGCGGAGGACAUUUUUUUUAAUUUAUUUUACUUUAUAUAAGAAAACCUUAAAGGCCUCUAGGGAGGCCACGGGUAAGGGGGGAUUACGGAAGCCUGUUUCAAGGCAAUAAAAAAGGGCAUCAGCGUAAGAAAAACACUCUUCGUACAAAGAAAUAACACGCAGCGUCAAGUUGAUUUGAAUUGAACGUCAAAUUGAAGUGAACUAAAUAUUAAACAAGAGCAAAUA